rnacentral:miRNA from 1 species
UUUAAGGGGGGUUUGUCACGC